ensembl:misc_RNA Y_RNA Y RNA
GGCUAGUCCAAUGGCAGUGGGUUAUCAGAACUUAUUAACAUUAGUGUCACUAAAGUUGGUAUACCACCCCCCCCCCCACUGCUAAAUUUGACUGGCUUUAA